AACGAACGCUGGCGGCAUGCCUAACACAUGCAAGUCGAACGAGACCUUCGGGUCUAGUGGCGCACGGGUGCGUAACGCGUGGGAACCUGCCCUUAGGUUCGGAAUAACUCCCCGAAAGGGGUGCCAAUACCGGAUAAUGUCUUCGGACCAAAGAUUUAUCGCCUUUGGAUGGGCCCGCGUUGGCUUAGCUAGUUGGUAGGGUAAAAGCCUACCAAGGCGACGAUCCAUAGCUGGUCUGAGAGGAUGAUCAGCCACACUGGGACUGAGACACGGCCCAGACUCCUACGGGAGGCAGCAGUGGGGAAUAUUGGACAAUGGGCGAAAGCCUGAUCCAGCAAUGCCGCGUGAGUGAUGAAGGCCUUAGGGUUGUAAAGCUCUUUUACCCGGGAUGAUAAUGACAGUACCGGGAGAAUAAGCUCCGGCUAACUCCGUG
rnacentral:rRNA from 1 species